UACGGAGGGUGCAAGCGUUAUCCGGAUUUAUUGGGUUUAAGGGGAGCGUAGGCGGGAUUGUAAGUCAGUGGUGAAAGCCCGUAGCUCAACUACGGAACUGCCAUUGAUACUGCAGACCUAGAGUACACUUGAAGUGGGCGGAAUGUGUCAUGUAGCGGUGAAAUGCUCAGAUAUGACACAGAACACCAAUUGCGAAGGCAGCUCACUAAAUUGUAACUGACGCUGAGGCUCGAUAGCGUGGGGAUCAAACAGG
rnacentral:rRNA from 1 species